AGUGAACGCUGGCGGUAGGCCUAACACAUGCAAGUCGAACGGCAGCACAGUAAGAGCUUGCUCUUACGGGUGGCGAGUGGCGGACGGGUGCGGAAUACAUCGGAAUCUACUUUUUCGUGGGGGAUAACGUAGGGAAACUGACGCUAAUACCUCAUACGACCUACGGGUGAAACCAGGGGAUCUUCGGACCUUGCGCGAUCCAAUGAGCCGAUUUCGGAUUACCUAGUUUGCGGGGUAAAGGCCCACCAAGGCGACGAUCCGUAGCUGGUCUGAGAUGAUGAUCAGCCCCACUGGAACUGAGACACGGUCCAGACUCCUACGGGAGGCAGCAGUGGGGAAUAUUGGACAAUGGGCGCAAGCCUGAUCCAGCCAUACCGCGUGGGUGAAGAAGGCCUUCGGGUUGUAAAGCCCUUUUGUUGGGAAAGAAAGGCAGCAGGUUAAUACCCCGCUGUUCUGACGGUACCCAAAGAAUAAGCACCGGCUAACUUCGUG
rnacentral:rRNA from 1 species